AAAAACGCGUGAGGUCUCUUGGGUCACCUCCCACCCGUGUUUAUUUUACCUUGUUGCUUCGGCGGGCCCGCCUUUACUGGCCGCCGGGGGGCUCACGCCCCCGGGCCCGCGCCCGCCGAAGACACCCCCGAACUCUGUCUGAAGAUUGAAGUCUGAGUGAAAAUAUAAAUUAUUUAAAACUUUCAACAACGGAUCUCUUGGUUCCGGCAUCGAUGAAGAACGCAGCGAAAUGCGAUACGUAAUGUGAAUUGCAAAUUCAGUGAAUCAUCGAGUCUUUGAACGCACAUUGCGCCCCCUGGUAUUCCGGGGGGCAUGCCUGUCCGAGCGUCAUUGCUGCCCUCAAGCCCGGCUUGUGUGUUGGGCCCCGUCCUCCGAUUCCGGGGGACGGGCCCGAAAGGCAGCGGCGGCACCGCGUCCGGUCCUCGAGCGUAUGGGGCUUUGUCACCCGCUCUGUAGGCCCGGCCGGCGCUUGCCGAUCAACCCAAAUUUUUAUCCAGGUUGACCUCGGAUCAGGUAGGGAUACCCGCUGAACUUAAGCAUAUCAAAAACCGGGAGGAA
rnacentral:rRNA from 1 species